rnacentral:rRNA from 1 species
GAUGAACGCUGGCGGCGUGCCUAAUACAUGCAAGUCGAGCGAAUGGAUUAAGAGCUUGCUCUUAUGAAGUUAGCGGCGGACGGGUGAGUAACACGUGGGUAACCUGCCCAUAAGACUGGGAUAACUCCGGGAAACCGGGGCUAAUACCGGAUAACAUUUUGAACCGCAUGGUUCGAACUUGAAAGGCGGCUUCGGCUGUCACUUAUGGAUGGACCCGCGUCGCAUUAGCUAGUUGGUGAGGUAACGGCUCACCAAGGCAACGAUGCGUAGCCGACCGGGGAGGGUGAUCGGCCACACUGGGACUGAGACACGGCCCAGACUCCUGCGGGAGGCAGCAGUAGGGAAGCUUCCGCAAUGGACGAAAGUCUGACGGAGCAACGCCGCGUGGGUGAUGAAGGCUUUCGGGUCGUAAAACUCUGUUGUUAGGGAAGAACAAGUGCUAGUUGAAUAAGCUGGCACCUUGACGGUACCUAACCAGAAAGCCACGGCUAACUACGUGCCAGCCGCCGCCGUAA